rnacentral:rRNA from 1 species
GAUGAACGCUGGCGGCGUGCCUAAUACAUGCAAGUCGAGCGAACAGAUGAGGAGCUUGCUCCUCUGACGUUAGCGGCGGACGGGUGAGUAACACGUGGAUAACCUACCUAUAAGACUGGGAUAACUUCGGGAAACCGGAGCUAAUACCGGAUAAUAUCUUGAACCGCAUGGUUCAAUAGUGAAAGACGGCUUUGCUGUCACUUAUAGCUGGAUCCGCGCCGCAUUAGCUAGUUGGUAAGGUAACGGCUUAUCAAGGCAACGAUGCGUAGCCGACCUGAGAGGGUGAUCGGCCACACUGGAACUGAGACACGGUCCAGACUCCUACGGGAGGCAGCAGUAGGGAAUCUUCCGCAAUGGGCGGAAGCCUGACGGAGCAACGCCGCGUGAGUGAUGAAGGUCUUCGGAUCGUAAAACUCUGUUAUUAGGGAAGAACAAAUGUGUAAGUAACUAUGCACGUCUUGACGGUACCUAAUCAGAAAGCCACGGCUAACUACGUG